rnacentral:rRNA from 1 species
ACCUGCCCUCUGAAUUAUCAAUUUGAAUGGCUGCGGUACCCUGACCGUGCAAAGGUAGCAUAAUAAUUAGUUUCUUAAUUGGGAACUGGUAUGAACGGUCGAACGAGAAAAAGACUGUCUCAAUUUAAUUUAAAUUAGAAUUUUAUUUUUAAGUAAGAAAGCUUAAAUUAUUUUAAAAGACGAGAAGACCCUAUAGAAUUUUAUAAAAAUUUAUAUGUUUGAAAGUUAAAGGAUUUUAGAUUUAGGCAUAUUUAUUUUUAUUUAGUUGGGGCGAUUGAAAAAUUUGAUAAACUUUUUUUAAAAUUAAACCAUUAAUUUAUGAUUGGAUGAUCCAUUAAUAAUGAUUAUAAGAUU